GAUGAACGCUGGCGGCGUGCCUAAUACAUGCAAGUCGAGCGAACGGACGAGAAGCUUGCUUCUCUGAUGUUAGCGGCGGACGGGUGAGUAACACGUGGAUAACCUACCUAUAAGACUGGGAUAACUUCGGGAAACCGGAGCUAAUACCGGAUAAUAUUUUGAACCGCAUGGUUCAAAAGUGAAAGACGGUCUUGCUGUCACUUAUAGAUGGAUCCGCGCUGCAUUAGCUAGUUGGUAAGGUAACGGCUUACCAAGGCAACGAUGCAUAGCCGACCUGAGAGGGUGAUCGGCCACACUGGAACUGAGACACGGUCCAGACUCCUACGGGAGGCAGCAGUAGGGAAUCUUCCGCAAUGGGCGAAAGCCUGACGGAGCAACGCCGCGUGAGUGAUGAAGGUCUUCAGAUCGUAAAACUCUGUUAUUAGGGAAGAACAUAUGUGUAAGUAACUGUGCACAUCUUGACGGUACCUAAUCAGAAAGCCACGGCUAACUACGUGCCAGCAGCCGCGGUAAUACGUAGGUGGCAAGCGUUAUCCGGAAUUAUUGGGCGUAAAGCGCGCGUAGGCGGUUUUUUAAGUCUGAUGUGAAAGCCCACGGCUCAACCGUGGAGGGUCAUUGGAAACUGGAAAACUUGAGUGCAGAAGAGGAAAGUGGAAUUCCAUGUGUAGCGGUGAAAUGCGCAGAGAUAUGGAGGAACACCAGUGGCGAAGGCGACUUUCUGGUCUGUAACUGACGCUGAUGUGCGAAAGCGUGGGGAUCAAACAGGAUUAGAUACCCUGGUAGUCCACGCCGUAAACGAUGAGUGCUAAGUGUUAGGGGGUUUCCGCCCCUUAGUGCUGCAGCUAACGCAUUAAGCACUCCGCCUGGGGAGUACGACCGCAAGGUUGAAACUCAAAGGAAUUGACGGGGACCCGCACAAGCGGUGGAGCAUGUGGUUUAAUUCGAAGCAACGCGAAGAACCUUACCAAAUCUUGACAUCCUUUGACAACUCUAGAGAUAGAGCCUUCCCCUUCGGGGGACAAAGUGACAGGUGGUGCAUGGUUGUCGUCAGCUCGUGUCGUGAGAUGUUGGGUUAAGUCCCGCAACGAGCGCAACCCUUAAGCUUAGUUGCCAUCAUUAAGUUGGGCACUCUAAGUUGACUGCCGGUGACAAACCGGAGGAAGGUGGGGAUGACGUCAAAUCAUCAUGCCCCUUAUGAUUUGGGCUACACACGUGCUACAAUGGACAAUACAAAGGGCAGCGAAACCGCGAGGUCAAGCAAAUCCCAUAAAGUUGUUCUCAGUUCGGAUUGUAGUCUGCAACUCGACUACAUGAAGCUGGAAUCGCUAGUAAUCGUAGAUCAGCAUGCUACGGUGAAUACGUUCCCGGGUCU
rnacentral:rRNA from 1 species